rnacentral:rRNA from 1 species
GUGGGGAAUCUUGCGCAAUGGGCGAAAGCCUGACGCAGCCAUGCCGCGUGUGUGAAGAAGGCCUUUUGGUUGUAAAGCACUUUAAGCGAGGAGGAGGCUACCGAGAUUAAUACUCUUGGAUAGUGGACGUUACUCGCAGAAUAAGCACCGGCUAACUCUGUGCCAGCAGCCGCGGUAAUACAGAGGGUGCAAGCGUUAAUCGGAUUUACUGGGCGUAAAGCGCGCGUAGGUGGCCAAUUAAGUCAAAUGUGAAAUCCCCGAGCUUAACUUGGGAAUUGCAUUCGAUACUGGUUGGCUAGAGUAUGGGAGAGGAUGGUAGAAUUCCAGGUGUAGCGGUGAAAUGCGUAGAGAUCUGGAGGAAUACCGAUGGCGAAGGCAGCCAUCUGGCCUAAUACUGACACUGAGGUGCGAAAGCAUGGGGAGCAAACAGGAUUAGAUACCCGAGUAGUCC